rnacentral:rRNA from 1 species
UGAGGAAUAUUGGGCAAUGGGCGGAAGCCUGACCCAGCCACGCCGCGUGAGUGAUGAAGGCCUUCGGGUUGUAAAGCUCUGUGGGGAAGGAAGAAAACGUUGGUGAAUAAUAAGCACCAGCCUUGACGGUACUUCCUUAGCAAGCACCGGCUAACUCUGUGCCAGCAGCCGCGGUAAGACAGAGGGUGCAAACGUUGCUCGGAAUUACUGGGCGUAAAGCGCACGUAGGCGGAUUCGCAAGUCAGAUGUGAAAUCCCCGGGCUCAACCUGGGAACUGCAUUUGAAACUGCGUGUCUAGAGUGAUGGAGAGGGAAGCGGAAUUCCCGGUGUAGAGGUGAAAUUCGUAGAUAUCGGGAGGAACACCAGUGGCGAAGGCGGCUUCCUGGACAUUAACUGACGCUGAGGUGCGAAAGCGUGGGGAGCAAACAGGAUUAGAUACCCCGGUAGUCC